GUCAGGUGAUAGAGCUGGAGGCCAGAUUGAGCAGGAAGAGGCAACCAGUGGGAAGGAGCCUGGCAAAGUUAUUCCUGUGCCACAGGAGGAGGAAGAAAGCCUGAAACAAUGGACAUGCACUUUGGAAGCAGAGCUUGAACCUUUAUAUCCAGAGUGUGCACAUCCAUAUGAAGAAAGCUGCAGCUCCUGCAACAGUCUCAUCCAAGAGCCAUCCACUGCAGAGGGUGAAAGGAAGGUGUUUGUAAAGAGCAG